ACGGAAGAGUCAUAGACAAGUUGAGCUUCUCUCCCCUGUCUCAAAACCAUCGGCAAAAGAUCCGAAGAGGGAUGAAUACAAAAAAAGAAGUUAAACCUGAAGAGAAGAUAGAAGAGCCUCCGGUGAUCAUAGUGGUGUUAAAGGUCCACAUGCACUACGAAGCCUGCGUGCAAGAAAUUGGAAAAUGAAUACAAAGGAUUAAAGGAGUCGAAACAGGAGAUUCAAAUUUGAAGAACUCACUGGUAACAGUGAAGGGCAUCUUCAACCCACAAAAGCUGGUUGAGUAUGUGUACAAGAGAACAGGGAAGCACACAACGAUCUUGAAGCAAGAGCCAAAGAAGGCGAAGGAAGAGAAUGAAGAAAAGAAAGGCGAAGGUGAAGGUGAAGGUGAAAAGAAAGGCAAGGGAGGAGAUGG